rnacentral:rRNA from 1 species
UACGUAGGGUGCAAGCGUUAAUCGGAAUUACUGGGCGUAAAGCGUGCGCAGGCGGUUUUGUAAGUCUGUCGUGAAAUCCCCGGGCUCAACCUGGGAAUUGCGAUGGAGACUGCAAGGCUAGAGUUUGGCAGAGGGGGGUAGAAUUCCACGUGUAGCAGUGAAAUGCGUAGAGAUGUGGAGGAACACCGAUGGCGAAGGCAGCCCCCUGGGUCAAGAUUGACGCUCAUGCACGAAAGCGUGGGAGCAACAGG